GAUUAUUGUAUUAUUAACUAUACUGUCUUUUUUCAUGAUGUUUGGAUAGUGAUUCAAAAUUGCUCAUCGGUUCAGCACAAUGACUGGAUUAUUGCAGUAUUGCUACAGGCCAGAUGGGAUUCGACUCAUGGAAUUACAGUUGUGAAUUUUGGUCCAAGGCUAUCCUGCUGGCCGAUAAUAUGGAAGUGAAAUCAAGUUCUGUUUUGGAUUUAAUUACGAGUUCCUUAUUCAUUCAGUGCCCUACAACUAGUGUUUGAUGGCCAGUCACCCUGUAUGGAUGACUUUCAACUGUAACAUCUAAGGAAAUCACUUGAGGAAUGUAUUUUUUUCUAAAUGUGAGGUUUAAUUUGUGGUGUUAAAUUUUCUCUCUCGUAGGUUGGUUUCCUGAUUUACCUGUUCACAUAAGCUCUUUACGUUUUGUUUCUCUUACGUUCGCCACCAACACAAUCAGCUGGAAGAUUGAUUCUCAUUCUGUGAGAAUCCUAGUGUUGGAGCCUGGCGUUGCUGCGUGUCUACAUCUGGCGGUUACUGGUUAAUCGUCGACAUUGCGUAAGUUGUGUGUGCCGCAGUGAUGGUUUGGGCUCUUUCUGUCUUGGCUUACGGCAAUCCCGCGCUUGGGGGUAACUCACGGGGUACAUUGUUGCUCAAUCGAAUCCCUCGGAAAUAUUCUUCCGGCGUCUUCAGCUCACCUCCCGUCACCUCUGGAUUAUGGCUUCUGCUCCUGCUGUCGGACGAUGUCUUUCUGUAAGAAAACGGAAACCCGAGAUUGAUGCUUACACACACCGCAACUGCCUUUGUUCAGGUUUUUCGAAUCCUGAUUGGGAUUCAAUGUUGCCGGUCUGGACAUGUCUGGAAAACGACAGGGCGCCCGUAGCGAACUCUGUUGGCGUUGAAUUAGAAUUUUGUUGCUUUUGUGGUAUUCCACUGGAAUUUGGAAGCAUUAGUGAAUCUUCACCACCAACAGAUGCACUUUGACGUGCUUGAAGAAAAUCAGGACUACCAAUUUCAUUUUCAAAAUCUGGAUUUUAGAAUACUUUUACUACCUGAGAUCAUGUGUGGAGUAGGAAUCAUUUGACCUCCGUGAAAGGAUUUGGUGCUCAGUUGUACUGGAUAUCAGAAAUGGCAGUGACUGGCAGCCAAGGACUCUAUAAAUCACGAGAACAAGAAAAGGUGUUCGCUGGAGGAAUAUUACCCAGGUCUAAUCUGACAUUUGGCUGUUACUUUUUGAGGCUGUGAAUUUUGAAUCAACGCUUCUUGUUAUUCAACUUGUUGGCCGAGAGAAGUGACAGCCUGUCACGUCGCCAUAUGUUCGAUUGGCUCAAUGGACAAAGUGCUGGACAUUUUUUGGGAUAAUACCUUUGGAGGCAAAAGGUUGUCCAGGGUGGCCAUACUGUUUUGGAGGCUGACUUUCUCUGUGCAACAAAGUUUCAUCGACGAUGCGACCUCUGGCUGGGAUCUGGAUGGAGAAAAUGUUGGACCAUUUCUCGCAACUCUUUGCCGAUGCGUGGAUCGAAGGAUGGCACGAGAUACGUACACCAGGUUAACAGCCGAAAGCCGAGUUUGUUUUUCGGUCGAUCUGCUGAGUAAAUUUAUGAACAAGAUGGAGUUCAAAACAAAUAGGAAAACCACUAGAGUGACUACCAACAUGUCGUUCAUUUUCACCACUGUUUGUUUGUUUGUUUGUUUGCUAGUGAAAACUGUUAUGUCUGUCUAUUGCCGUUGGGGUUGCGGGGUUGCCUGUAUAGACUUGCCAGGGUAAUCCCGUUUCGCACUGUCCAUUACUACUGUUUUAAUCAGAUUUCUAAUUAAGUUUAUGUUAUUUAACUUUUUGUAUUGACUUAUUAUCAUACUUUAAGGU